AAUAAAACAUACAAGAUCACCUUCUAUUUGCCUCCCAGUCUUUUUUUAUUUGAUUUUAUGCCCUUUGAGACAGCAUACCUGUGAAGCGCUUCACCCACAGACUCAGACAGACACUGGGGAGGAACUGUAGUCAAUGGCUCCUUUCCAAUAUCCCCACUAGCAUACCACUUACAAGAUGUUACCCUGCUAGUUCCGGAGGGCCGGAACUGAUUGAAUCGGCCUGGAAUCAAAAUGAAUGAAUGCCCAGUGUCGGCCCAAGUACAUCAGGCCGUUUCCAUCUACCGCAAUUCAGGUCGACUUUGCCGGCAUCUUACGUGAAUCCCCCCAGAAGCGGCCCAAAUGCAAAUUUAAAUAAAUGUCUACAACAUUA